rnacentral:rRNA from 1 species
UACGUAGGUCCCGAGCGUUGUCCGGAUUUAUUGGGCGUAAAGCGAGCGCAGGCGGUUCUUUAAGUCUGAUGUAAAAGGCAGUGGCUCAACCAUUGUGUGCAUUGGAAACUGUUAGACUUGAGUGCAGUAGAGGAGAGUGGAAUUCCAUGUGUAGCGGUGAAAUGCGUAGAUAUAUGGAGGAACACCGGUGGCGAAAGCGGCUCUCUGGACUGUAACUGACACUGAGGCUCGGAAGCGUGGGUAGCAAACAGG